AUUGAACGCUGGCGGCAGGCUUAACACAUGCAAGUCGAGCGGGGGAAGGUAGCUUGCUACCGGACCUAGCGGCGGACGGGUGAGUAAUGCUUAGGAAUCUGCCUAUUAGUGGGGGACAACAUCUCGAAAGGGAUGCUAAUACCGCAUACGUCCUACGGGAGAAAGCAGGGGAUCUUCGGACCUUGCGCUAAUAGAUGAGCCUAAGUCGGAUUAGCUAGUUGGUGGGGUAAAGGCCUACCAAGGCGACGAUCUGUAGCGGGUCUGAGAGGAUGGUCCGCCACACUGGGACUGGGACACGGCCCAGACUCCUACGGGAGGCAGCAGUGGGGAAUAUUGGACAAUGGGGGGAACCCUGAUCCAGCCAUGCCGCGUGUGUGAAGAAGGCCUUAUGGUUGUAAAGCACUUUAAGCGAGGAGGAGGCUACUUUAGUUAAUACCUAGAGAUAGUGGACGUUACUCGCAGAAUAAGCACCGGCUAACUCUGUGCCAGCCGCCGCUGUAA
rnacentral:rRNA from 1 species